AGCUUUCUGAAUACAUACCGAGAUUUCGCCAAACACCAGAUCAUCAGUACUGGUGAAACUCCCAAGGUAAGUGAGGCG
rfam:Schistosoma haematobium scaffold1903_8, whole genome shotgun sequence.